GUCCAGGGGCGGGAAUCGAACCCACAACCUUCUGCUUACCGGGCAUGUGCCAUGUCCACUAGGCUACCCUGGA
rnacentral:tRNA from 1 species